rnacentral:lncRNA from 1 species
UUAAUAAUUUAUAGUUAAAAUCUAAAUAGUAAUUUAUAUCAACACUAAAGAUAAUCAAAUUUAAAUCUAUUAAUUUUGAUUGCCACUAUUUAAAUGACAGAUCGCAAAGGUAUUGUAUAAUUGUGAAUUUUGUUAUUGUCAGGGUGAACUUAAAUGCAGCGUCUGCAGUCGAAAGUACUAAAACGCGCAUUUUACAUUUUUUCAACAUUGGAUACAUUGUCUGAACUUGAAGCAGUUAUACUCCAAACAUCAAUAAUACUUCAAAAAAAUCUUCUUUUCAACAGCUUUUGUUUAUUAUGGAUUUUUUUAUUUUUGAGUGUUGUGUUUUAUAAACUUUAUAAAAAAUUUGGAAACAGGAAUGUUUGGUUUCAGUGUUUUUAUUUACAAGAAGUUUCAUACCGUAUAAAUUGACCAUGAAUUGUAUGAAUCAACAACCUGUUUAAAAUUGACAGAACCUAAAUAACAUGUUUAAAAUUUUCGACUAUGAUAUCAACUUUACUAGACCACGGCAAUUAGUGACUAAAAACACUCGAAUAAAUCGAUUUUUAAAUACGGCAUCUAGAGAUUUGCAACUUUUGCAUUGUGUUCAAAAUGAUGUGUUGUGAGGAAAAAAGUCUACUAU